GGGGAAUAUUGCACAAUGGGCGGAAGCCUGAUGCAGCAACGCCGCGUGCGGGAUGACGGCCUUCGGGUUGUAAACCGCUUUCGCCUGUGACGAAGCGUGAGUGACGGUAAUGGGUAAAGAAGCACCGGCUAACUACGUGCCAGCAGCCGCGGUGAUACGUAGGGUGCGAGCGUUGUCCGGAUUUAUUGGGCGUAAAGGGCUCGUAGGUGGUUGAUCGCGUCGGAAGUGUAAUCUUGGGGCUUAACCCUGAGCGUGCUUUCGAUACGGGUUGACUUGAGGAAGGUAGGGGAGAAUGGAAUUCCUGGUGGAGCGGUGGAAUGCGCAGAUAUCAGGAGGAACACCAGUGGCGAAGGCGGUUCUCUGGGCCUUUCCUGACGCUGAGGAGCGAAAGCGUGGGGAGCGAACAGGCUUAGAUACCCUGGUAGUCCACGCUGUAAACGGUGGGUACUAGGUGUGGGGUCCAUUCCGCGGGUUCCGUGCCGUAGCUAACGCUUUAAGUACCCCGCCUGGGGAGUACGGCCGCAAGGCUA
rnacentral:rRNA from 1 species